AGAGUUUGAUCCUGGCUCAGGAUGAACGCUAGCUACAGGCUUAACACAUGCAAGUCGAGGGGCAGCAUUUUAGUUUGCUUGCAAACUGAAGAUGGCGACCGGCGCACGGGUGAGUAACACGUAUCCAACCUGCCGAUAACUCCGGAAUAGCCUUUCGAAAGAAAGAUUAAUACCGGAUAGUAUACGAAUAUCGCAUGAUAUUUUUAUUAAAGAAUUUCGGUUAUCGAUGGGGAUGCGUUCCAUUAGUUUGUUGGCGGGGUAACGGCCCACCAAGACUACGAUGGAUAGGGGUUCUGAGAGGAAGGUCCCCCACAUUGGAACUGAGACACGGUCCAAACUCCUACGGGAGGCAGCAGUGAGGAAUAUUGGUCAAUGGGCGCGAGCCUGAACCAGCCAAGUAGCGUGAAGGAUGAAGGCUCUAUGGGUCGUAAACUUCUUUUAUAUGGGAAUAAAGUUUUCCACGUGUGGAAUUUUGUAUGUACCAUAUGAAUAAGGAUCGGCUAACUCCGUGCCAGCAGCCGCGGUAAUACGGAGGAUCCGAGCGUUAUCCGGAUUUAUUGGGUUUAAAGGGAGCGUAGGUGGAUUGUUAAGUCAGUUGUGAAAGUUUGCGGCUCAACCGUAAAAUUGCAGUUGAAACUGGCAGUCUUGAGUACAGUAGAGGUGGGCGGAAUUCGUGGUGUAGCGGUGAAAUGCUUAGAUAUCACGAAGAACUCCGAUUGCGAAGGCAGCUCACUAGACUGUUACUGACACUGAUGCUCGAAAGUGUGGGUAUCAAACAGGAUUAGAUACCCUGGUAGUCCACACAGUAAACGAUGAAUACUCGCUGUUUGCGAUAUACAGUAAGCGGCCAAGCGAAAGCAUUAAGUAUUCCACCU
rnacentral:rRNA from 1 species